GGGGGUGCGGGACUGUUAGCUCAGUGGUAAAGCACUUGUUUUCCAUGCGGAAGGCUCCAGAUUCAAUCCCUGGCCUCUCCA